GGCUAGUGUCCUCGCCACAGGCGCCGCUUUUUGUUGUCUGGGGCUGGGAGGCCGCCACCACAUUUGGGGGCGAAGCGGGGGGGCUGCGGCUAUCCUGAGCGCCGGUCAGCGCCUUCCGGCUCCCUGUGGUGCCAGGUCAUUGAGUUUUGACCAUUUGGGACUCCUGAACCUACGGACUGUGACCUCAGAGCAGCACACACACUUGCCCCAUGCACAGUGGGUGCACAUUCCCUCCACAUUCUCUUGACCGGGCAGCAGACUUGGUUAUUUCACGGCUGUUGAUAAGGACCCUAAGGAGAACCCAUAGUCUCUGUGCCGCUUCUCCGAGUCUCAUUCCUUUGAGACUCCUUCACGUGCCUCCAGGAUCCCCCUGCUUAAGACACUUGUCCAGAAAUCCAGCUUGGCUCAAAUCAAGAAGGCGCCAUUUACUCAUUGAGCACUUGUGGCUGAAAAGUCAGCUGCCCUUCUGAGUCAGAAGAUAACCUCGUCAUGCUUCUUCCAACAGCAAACUUUGCUGUGCUUCCCCAGCUGUGAGCAUGAUUCAUCAGGUGGCACCACCGCUGCAUGGCUGAGAGUCAGUCUAUUGUUCCACGCGGCCCAGUACAGGACUGGGGUCAGGCCCCAGAGAGCUGGCCGGCAGGGAUGGCUGAGAAGUCUCUCAGGAGCACAGAUUGCUGUUUACUCCUGGAUGAAGUGUUUUCAAGGCAGGUCAUCAAGAAGGGGCUUGUGGGCUCCAUGAAGGCCUUGCAGAAGCAGUACGUGUCCUGGGACAUGGUGGUGACGAGUAAGGAUGCCGACGCCAACACCGUGUACAGUGCCGUGGAGGCCAUGUUCAUCCAUGGUCUGCACACCAAGCACAUCCUCACUGAGGAGGGAGACAAAAGGAAGAAGCGUGCCCAAUGGAAGCCCUUGCCGCAGCCUGCCUUCUGGCCCCUCCUGAAAGCCGUCACCCAGAACUUCCAAGGGUGUUGUCAGAAUUCAUCAAGGCCCAGAUGGACUCUGUGCCAACCUGCCAACUAAACCAGGAAGCAGCAAGCCCUGUGCCGCCCGGCCUGCACUCAAGCACACGCCCGCACUCCACCACAUUAGUUCAGCCCUGCCUGCCCCGGCCUUCUCCUGCGCUCCUCCAGAUGGUGGCUCCCCAGACUUGCCACCACCGGAAACUGCCCCUGUUGUCUCUGCAGGGAGCACUCCAUGCCAGUAGCCUUCAAGUCUGGUGGGUGAACUGACCAGCACAGCCCGCCAGGGAGCCACCAGCCAGAGCUCCGGGAGGGUGGAGCCGGACUGAGAAUCGUGGUUCCCUCACCUGCAGCCCAGUGAGUAGUGCGAGCUGUGGGUGGGGUGGAAGGGCCCCAUGAAAUGUCUCAGCUAGUGACUCUGAGUGGUCCCUGCCUUUUCCCCAUUAGCCCUGGGUCCCCUCCCAGUGCUGGGAUUCAUUGCCUGGCAAUGAUGGAGCCCGGGCUUCUGGGUGUAAGUCAAGGAGAUGAGGCAGGCACAGUGCUGGACACUUCCUGUGGGUGUGUCUUGUCAACGCAUAUCAACCAUGGGGGGAAGCUAAUGCUCAUCUUAACACAGACUCCGCGCUGAGGCUCAUCUGUGCCAAAAUAGUUUCCAAAGGCAAGACACUUUGCUCACUGAGCCUUUAUUUUCCCUCAGCCCAUAUUAAAUUAACAGUUCAUAAAAUUCUCAUUCUGCGACAUGAAUCAGGUUUAGAACUACACACUCUCCAGGGACUGGAGCAAUAAUACAAUGGGGAGGGGGCUUGUCUUGUGACAUGGCCAACCCACGUUUGACCCCCGACAGCCCAUAUAGUCCCCAAGCACCACCAGGAGUGAUUCCUGAGUGCAGAGUCAGAAGUAAGCGCUGAGCAUUGCCAUGUAGGGUACAAAAGACAAAGGAACCACAUUGUCUAAUAAUCUACCAGUGAACACUUGAAAGACGGCUAGUCCUGGGCUGGGGAGAUAGCUCUGUGGUCAUGGGUUGCAUGCCUUGCGUGCACAGGGACUCAUUUUCACUUCCCGGUUCCUCAUGCUUCAUUCACCACAUGGCAUGAGUCCUAGCACUGGCCCGUCCAGCCCAGUUGACCGAGUAUCGCUGAAGUAGUCCAGUGUGUUGAUCAUCCAAGGGAAGCCAGCCAUAUGCAGCUCCUGGGAGAACCCUGCGUGGGCCCUUGUGAGCUUAGACCAGGGCUAAGUAGUCCCGCUGGGAGGCCACACCCUUGCUGCUUCACAUUUUUUCUCAGGAAACAGGUGAAGAUUCCCAGAGAAAAUUAUGGAUCUUUUAUAGUGACCCUUCUGUUUGAAAGAGAACUUGUGACUUUAUUAGCAGCAAACGAUGCAUAGAAAAUAAACUUUGUGAUUUUACUCAAUACCAAAUAGAUUAAUGUGUACUCUCUUAGGGUGUUUUUUGGCACAUUCCUCUGGUGCUCAGUUUCUACUCCUGGUGUGGUGCUCUGGGUACCAUGGGGUGCUGGGGACUAAACCUGGAGCUGCUGCAAGCAAAGUAAACACUACAGGUCUUUGAGCUAUCUCUCCAGCCCUUACUGAGGUUUUUUUUUUUAAUAUAUUAAAUUUUUUAAAUUUAUUUUAUUGAAUCACCAAGUGGAAAGUUACAAAGUUCUCAGGCUUAUAUCUCCGUUAUACAAUGCUCAAACACCCAUCCCUUCACCAGUGCCCAUAUUCCACCACCAAUAAAAACAAAAACAAAACAAAAACAAAAGCAAAAACAAAAAAGAACAGUAUACAUCCCACCCCUCACCCCCCAAACCCCCCGUGCGUGAGUGAUAAUUUCACUUCCUUUUCUCUUUACCUUGAUUACAUUCCAGAUUUCAACACACAACUCACUAUUGUUGUUAGAGUUUCAAAACAGACUCACUAUUUUUUUGGAAUUUAUCCCCCAAGAAUACAGCUCUAUUAACAAGGAAAUAUUUGAUAAUAAGAUUUCCACUGAUGAGAAUGAAGCAAUAAAAUGUCGGUUUACAAUUUCUGUAUUAUAGUAAUUAAGUCCGCGGAGAUUUAAGUUGGAAAAUGAGUCAUUUACCUUCCUGGACCAGCAUGUAGCAAAAGCUUAGUUCACAGUCUCCAUACAUGGGU